rnacentral:rRNA from 1 species
GACGAACGCUGGCGGCGUGCCUAAUACAUGCAAGUCGAGCGGACGAAUCGAAAGCUUGCUUUUGAUUCGUUAGCGGCGGACGGGUGAGUAACACGUGGGCAACCUGCCCUGUAGACGGGGAUAACACCGAGAAAUCGGUGCUAAUACCGGAUAACACGAAAUGUCGCAUGACGUUUCGUUGAAAGACGGCGCAAGCUGUCGCUACAGGAUGGGCCCGCGGCGCAUUAGCUAGUUGGUGAGGUAACGGCUCACCAAGGCGACGAUGCGUAGCCGACCUGAGAGGGUGAUCGGCCACACUGGGACUGAGACACGGCCCAGACUCCUACGGGAGGCAGCAGUAGGGAAUCUUCCGCAAUGGACGAAAGUCUGACGGAGCAACGCCGCGUGAGCGAAGAAGGCCUUCGGGUCGUAAAGCUCUGUUGUUAGGGAAGAACAAGUAACGCAGUAACUGGCGUUACCGUGACGGUACCUAGCGAGAAAGCCACGGCUAACUACGUG